AUGACAACAGAACCCACAACAACCAUGACUUUUAUCACCAUCUUCAUCUGGAUGCUUGUUUUCUGCUUUCAAGAAUCCAGAGGACAGUACGUUGUGACACAGACUCCGGCAGUGAAAGCUGUUGUCCCAGGACAGCCAGUCUCUAUGAACUGUAAAACCAGCAGUAAUGUUUACAACAAUAACUAUCUAGCCUGGUACCAACAGAAACCUGGAGGAGCUCCUAAACUCCUUAUUUACUAUGCUACAACACUUCAGUCUGGGACUCCAUCUAGAUUCAGUGGCAGUGGAUCUGGGAGUGACUUCACUCUGACCAUCAGUGGAGUCCAGGCUGAAGAUGCAGGAGAUUACUACUGUCAGAGUUUCCACUAUCCCAAUAGUAAAGAUGUGUUCACACAGUGAUACAGAGACGUACAAAAACCUCCCUCAGUCAGACUGCACAGUGACUGUACUGAUACAGCUGGGACCUACUGCAGGUGCUGAGGAGGAAGAGACAGUGACAUGGAACACUGAUCAGUAGAGGUCAA